rnacentral:rRNA from 1 species
CAGUAGCCACGGGAAUACGAAGGGGGCUAGCGUUGUUCGGAAUUACUGGGCGUAAAGCGCACGUAGGCGGAUAUUUAAGUCAGGGGUGAAAUCCCGCAGCUCAACUGCGGAACUGCCUUUGAUACUGGGUAUCUUGAGUAUGGAAGAGGUUAGUGGAAUUGCGAGUGUAGAGGUGAAAUUCGUAGAUAUUCGCAGGAACACCAGUGGCGAAGGCGGCUAACUGGUCCAUAACUGACGCUGAGGUGCGAAAGCGUGGGGAGCAAACAGGAUUAGAUACCCGGGUAGUCCCUGUCUCUUAUAC